rnacentral:rRNA from 1 species
UACGUAGGGGGCAAGCGUUGUCCGGAUUUAUUGGGCGUAAAGCGCUCGCAGGUGGUCCGUUGCGUCGUGCGUGAAAGACCCCGGCUCAACUGGGGAGUGUCGUGCGAUACGGGCAGACUGGAGGUAUGCAGGGGAGAACGGAAUUCCUGGUGUAGCGGUGAAAUGCGCAGAUAUCAGGAGGAACACCGGUGGCGAAGGCGGUUCUCUGGGCAUGUCCUGACGCUGAGGAGCGAAAGUGUGGGGAGCGAACAGG